UUUCGCAGAUUCUUCCUCCAAAUUACUAGAAUUCCAUUGGUGUCGAUAUGAUAAAGGACUUACAGUGCUCGCAUGUGGUGAACAACUAUUUCCGAAACGUAUUGUACUUUUUUGUGUGAUGAUGGUGCCUGUAGUAACUUCGUCAACUCCAGGAGUCAGGAAUUAGUCAUUUGCGUACGGUACAUCUGAAUUGGCAAACGUCCGGUUCCCAAGAAGUCAUUGCAACAAGUGGAAUUUGUGUAAAACAAAUUUCGAGAUUUUAAUUGGUCAAAGUGGUAGCGAAGAGGGUCGCAUCUAGCAGGCUACUGUCAUCUCAGAGACCGGUGUCCAGACCGUGAGAAUAUCCGAUCCUUAAGAAAGAUAAUAGUGGAUGCAAAAGUGUAAACAUCUUUUGAAAACACUUGUGUAUUUGGAACGAGGUGUUAAUAAGCGAAACACACAGAUCUGUUGGCGCAACAGUUUCCAUAGAUGCGGUAGAUAUGGUGAUAAAAAUAUCUACAUUCCAUGUCUCUAAUAUUUAAGGAUCAUCUCAUUCUCCAGUUCUUCUUGACGGCGUGAAAAAGAGUGGAUUGGAGAUUAUCCAGAGACCUUGAAACCAUCUAUGCAUGUAAGUGUUUUAUUGCUUUCUGUAGUUAUUGCUAGUAGGUUAUUUAUACGAUUAUUCCCUUUAAUUCCUUACUAUUGUAAAGGAUAGGGGC